ACACGUGAUUCAGAGUUUGAUCCUGGCUCAGGAUGAACGCUGGCGGCGUGCUUAACACAUGCAAGUCGAACGAAGCACUUUACUAGAUUUCUUCGGAUUGAAAGUUUUGUGACUGAGUGGCGGACGGGUGAGUAACGCGUGGGUAACCUGCCUCGUACAGGGGGAUAACAGUUGGAAACGACUGCUAAUACCGCAUAAGCGCACAGCAUCGCAUGAUGCAGUGUGAAAAACUCCGGUGGUAUGAGAUGGACCCGCGUCUGAUUAGCUAGUUGGUAAGGUAACGGCUUACCAAGGCGACGAUCAGUAGCCGACCUGAGAGGGUGAUCGGCCACAUUGGGACUGAGACACGGCCCAA
rnacentral:rRNA from 1 species